rnacentral:rRNA from 1 species
GAUGAACGCUGUCGGCGUGCCUAAUACAUGCAAGUCGAGCGAAGCGGGGACGGGUGAGUAACACGUGGAUAACCUCCUAUAAGACUGGGAUAACUUCGGGAAACCGGAGCUAAACCCGACACUUAUCGAUGGAUCCACGCUGCAUUAGCUAGUUGGUAAGGUAACGGCUUACAAAGGCAACGAUGCAGAGCCGACCUGAGCGGUUGAUCGUCCACUCUGGACCUGAGACACGGUCCAUACUCCAACGGGAGGCAGCAGGAGGGAAUCUUCCGCAUUGAGCGAAAGCCUGACGGAGCAACGCCUCUUGAGUGUUGAAGGUCUUCGGAUCGUAAAACUCUGUUAUUAGGGAAGCGGUACCUAAUCAGAAAGCCACGGCUAACUACGUGCCAGCAGCCGCGGUAAUAC